rnacentral:lncRNA from 1 species
AUGCUGGUUGAAGGCGGGUUCCGACGUGAGACACCCCGAAACCUGCUCCCCUGUGAGAACAAAGGCAGGUGCCGAGCGAGAGCCUGGUUGGUGCCGGACGCUCCCCGGCGUACUCCGGGCCCCAGAGAUUGCUCUGCCCACUGGAGCCGAGUUCCGUGCACACUGGAACCCCAGCUCCCCACCCAGCCCUGGCUGAAACCACAUAAGACUGUGCGUUAUGACAUCACCUGUUUUCGGGCUGGAGAACGCGAUCAGUAUUCUCGGCUUCUGCUUUUCUUAAAGGUCGCUAGCGUACGAGGAUCCGUGAAGGCCUGCAGUUGGCAGAAUGAAUCUGUGGAGAUGAUUUACACGAAUGAUUUCACUGGUACAAUAGUUCUUAGGAUUUGCCAAGAUCUUGGAAAAUAAAGGAGAUGCUUCACCCGACCAGUGAGGAUCCUCUUUGCCACACCUUUGGAAAUGUUGUGGAUGGGGAAUUAAAGGAAGUGGUGUUGCCCCACCCAGGGCCAUCCCAGAAGGACUGUGGUUGUGCUGGACGUGCUGUUGAUGCAACAACUCUACUGUUGUUUCUGUCUAUUUGAAACCUGUCACUUUGCAUUUUCUUUCUCCAAGAAGACCCAAACAUCAAGAGACUCCCAUGUCUUGGGGGAACUGGAACGCCUAGGAAUGGAAACAAAUGGAAAUACAUUAUACAAGUGGAACUUCAGCUAUGACCUGAAAUGUGUUACCUAAGAGCUCUGUAAGGGAGAAAUUGAAAACUUUUUUUCUAUCUUAAUAUUAUAUAAUCUAGUCACUGUUGAAAAGCCCUUCAAAUUUCAUUUUUUUAGUAAUUACUUUGUAGAGUUUUUUGAGGAUUAAAUGAAAAAAUUUAUGUAAAGUGCAUAGAACAGUGUCCCUCCUGUUAUGACCACUCAAUAAAUAUUACCUAUUAUUAUUACUUUUAAAACUUUUCAUGCAGCAAUAAUAUAUUUGUUCAACUGCAAUUGAAAUUUAUUUGAAUUCAACUGCAAUUGAAAUUUAUUUGAAUUUUAAUGUUUUGGGCUCCUUGGUGUCAUUUACCACUGUAUUUGAUUUAAAAGGGCUCAAGUACUUGGUAAUAUGCAAGGUGGAUCAUCAAGCAUUUUUACUGAAAUUGUGUUUGCAAAGUACAUUUUGGUCUUCUAUUAGUCUGUUCAGUCCCACUGUAAGAUAGAGAAUUCUGUGUCAGAGAUCCUGUUGAAAAAUGAAGAAUCUAAGUGUCAGGAGAAAUUAAAUGACAACAAUUAAAUGACAACAUUCUAACCUCUCUCUAGAUGAAGAAAGACCAUCUUCUCUGGGACUUGGGCUCAUACGUGAGGUAUAUGUAACCACACUGGAGUAGGAAGCGGCACCCCACUCCAGUGUUCUUGCCUGGGAAAUCCCAUGACAGCGGAGUGUGGCGGGCUGCAGUCCACGGUGGUUGCAAAGAAUCAGACGUGACUGAGUGAUUAGACAACAAUAGCAGUGCAUCCACACACAUGAAUAUAUGCCUUUAUGUGUCCUACUGUCAACAAACUCUCUUUUUUUUCUUUUUUGGCCAUGCUGUGCAGCUUGUGGGAUCUUAUUUCCCCAACCAGGAAUUGAACCCAAGCCCUCUGUAGUGGAAUUGAGGAGUUCUAACUCCUGGCCCGCCUGGUAAUUCCCUCAAAAUUCUUUUUCCUAGAGUAUGGAAAGGCAAAAAGCUAGAGCUAGUGAGUAAUAAUCAUUCCUUAAGCUUUUGACUGAUGAGCUGCAGCUUGUCAGCUAAUGAAAAGGAAGUAUUAUUCCCAUUUAAGAGCUGGAAUCCUGAGAUAGAGUGCCCUGGCUCUUGCCAUCAAGACUUUUGCCUGCUAGCCAAUAGCUGAUGAUCUCAGUUUUGCUCUACAAGAGGCAACUAACUACCUUUAGGAAUAUAGACAAUAUCACAAAAGAUAACAUGCCUGAUGUAUUUUGUAUGACUCUAGUAAGAAGCUAACCAUACUAUAAAUAGGUCUGGGUUUUUUUUAAAUAUAGGUCUGGGCUAAGAGGGUCUUCUGGGAAGUGUAAAUGGGGAGGAUAUAUAAAGCAUGGACCAAGCCAUGGAUUCUUUCAUCUUUGCCUUUUACAAUUGCCCUCUGUUUAUAGAAGUCUAUUUAUGAGUCUGCCUUGGUCAUCAGGCAAAAUGCCUUAUUUAUUUCCUGGCUGUUUACAAAAC